rnacentral:rRNA from 1 species
AGAGUUUGAUCCUGGCUCAGGACGAACGCUGGCGGCGUGCCUAAUACAUGCAAGUAGAACGCUGAAGAGAGGAGCUUGCUCUUCUUGGAUGAGUUGCGAACGGGUGAGUAACGCGUAGGUAACCUGCCUUGUAGCGGGGGAUAACUAUUGGAAACGAUAGCUAAUACCGCAUAACAAUGGAUGACACAUGUCAUUUAUUUGAAAGGGGCAAUUGCUCCACUACAAGAUGGACCUGCGUUGUAUUAGCUAGUAGGUGAGGUAAUGGCUCACCUAGGCGACGAUACAUAGCCGACCUGAGAGGGUGAUCGGCCACACUGGGACUGAGACACGGCCCAGACUCCUACGGGAGGCAGCAGUAGGGAAUCUUCGGCAAUGGGGGCAACCCUGACCGAGCAACGCCGCGUGAGUGAAGAAGGUUUUCGGAUCGUAAAGCUCUGUUGUAAGUCAAGAACGGGUGUGAGAGUGGAAAGUUCACACUGUGACGGUAGCUUACCAGAAAGGGACGGCUAACUACGUGCCAGCAGCCGCGGUAAUACGUAGGUCCCGAGCGUUGUCCGGAUUUAUUGGGCGUAAAGCGAGCGCAGGCGGUUUGAUAAGUCUGAAGUUAAAGGCUGUGGCUCAACCAUAGUUCGCUUUGGAAACUGUCAAACUUGAGUGCAGAAGGGGAGAGUGGAAUUCCAUGUGUAGCGGUGAAAUGCGUAGAUAUAUGGAGGAACACCGGUGGCGAAAGCGGCUCUCUGGUCUGUAACUGACGCUGAGGCUCGAAAGCGUGGGGAGCGAACAGGAUUAGAUACCCUGGUAGUCCACGCCGUAAACGAUGAGUGCUAGGUGUUGGAUCCUUUCCGGGAUUCAGUGCCGCAGCUAACGCAUUAAGCACUCCGCCUGGGGAGUACGACCGCAAGGUUGAAACUCAAAGGAAUUGACGGGGGCCCGCACAAGCGGUGGAGCAUGUGGUUUAAUUCGAAGCAACGCGAAGAACCUUACCAGGUCUUGACAUCCCGAUGCUAUUUCUAGAGAUAGAAAGUUACUUCGGUACAUCGGUGACAGGUGGUGCAUGGUUGUCGUCAGCUCGUGUCGUGAGAUGUUGGGUUAAGUCCCGCAACGAGCGCAACCCCUAUUGUUAGUUGCCAUCAUUCAGUUGGGCACUCUAGCGAGACUGCCGGUAAUAAACCGGAGGAAGGUGGGGAUGACGUCAAAUCAUCAUGCCCCUUAUGACCUGGGCUACACACGUGCUACAAUGGUUGGUACAACGAGUUGCGAGUCGGUGACGGCGAGCUAAUCUCUUAAAGCCAAUCUCAGUUCGGAUUGUAGGCUGCAACUCGCCUACAUGAAGUCGGAAUCGCUAGUAAUCGCGGAUCAGCACGCCGCGGUGAAUACGUUCCCGGGCCUUGUACACACCGCCCGUCACACCACGAGAGUUUGUAACACCCGAAGUCGGUGAGGUAACCUUUUGGAGCCAGCCGCCUAAGGUGGGACAGAUGAUUGGGGUGAAGUCGUAACAAGGUAGCCGUA